GACGAACGCUGGCGGCGUGCCUAAUACAUGCAAGUCGAGCGAAGCGGCGGAUGGGGGAGUAACGCGUGGGUAGCCUGCCCUUAAGUCUGGGUUACCAUUUGGACACAGAUUCUAAUACCGGAUACUAAAGGACGUACCUGCGACGCAUUAGCUAGUUGGUAAGCUAACGGCUUACCAAGGCGAUGACGCAUAGCCGAGGUGAGAGACUGAUCGGCCACAUUGGGACUGAGACACGGCCCAAACUCCUACGGGAGGCAGCAGUAGGGAAUCUUCCACAAGUGACGAAAGUCUGAUGGGGCAACGCCGCGUGAGUGAAGAAGGUUUUCGGAUCGUAAAGCUCUGUUGUUGGUGAAGCGGUAAUCAACCAGAAAGUCACGGCUAACUACGUGCCAGCAGCCGCGGUAAUAC
rnacentral:rRNA from 1 species